rnacentral:rRNA from 1 species
UACGGGGGGGGCAAGCGUUGUUCGGAAUUACUGGGCGUAAAGGGCUCGUAGGCGGCCAACUAAGUCAGACGUGAAAUCCCCAGGCUCAACCUGGGAACUGCGUCUGAUACUGGAUGGCUUGAAUCCGGGAGAGGGAUGCAGAAUUCCAGGUGUAGCGGUGAAAUGCGUAGAUAUCUGGAGGAAUGCCGGUGGCGAAGGCGGCAUCCUGGACCGGCAUUGACGCUGAGGAGCGAAAGCUAGGGGAGCAAACGGG